rnacentral:rRNA from 1 species
GACCAGACUCCUACGGGAGGCAGCAGUGGGGGAUAUUGCACAAUGGGGGAAACCCUGAUGCAGCGACGCCGCGUGAGUGAAGAAGUAAUUCGUUACGUAAAGCUCUAUCAGCAGGGAAGAAAAUGACGGUACCUGACUAAGAAGCCCCGGCUAACUACGUGCCAGCAGCCGCGGUAAUACGUAGGGGGCAAGCGUUAUCCGGAAUUACUGGGUGUAAAGGGAGCGCAGACGGCAGUGCAAGUCUGGAGUGAAAGCCCGUGGCUUAACCACGGGACUGCUCUGGAAACUGUGCAGCUAGAGUACAGGAGAGGAAAGCGGAAUUCCUAGUGUAGCGGUGAAAUGCGUAGAUAUUAGGAAGAACACCAGUGGCGAAGGCGGCUUUCUGGACUGAAACUGACGCUGAGGCACGAAAGCGUGGGGAGCGAACAGGAUUAGAUACCCCCGUA